rnacentral:rRNA from 1 species
UGGCGGACGGGUGAGUAAUAUGUGAGAAUUUGCCCUUAUGGCAGAGGAUAACAAUUAGAAAUAAUUGCUAAAACUCUAUAUGUUGGAAACAAUGAAAAAAGAAAUUUGCCUAAGGAGAAGCUCACAUUUGAUUAGCUAGUUGGUAGGGUAAGAGCCUACCAAGGCGACGAUCAAUAGUUGGUCUGAGAGGACGAUCAGCCACACUGGAACUGAGAUACGGUCCAGACUCCUACGGGAGGCAGCAGUGAGGAAUAUUCCGCAAUGGGCGAAAGCCUGACGGAGCAACGCCGCGUGAGGGAUGAAGGCCUACGGGUUGUAAACCUCUUUUUCCAAGGAGGAAGAUCUGACGUUACUUGGAGAAUAAGCAUCGGCUAACCCUGUGCCAGCAGCCGCGGUAAUACAGGGGAUGCAAGUGUUAUCCGGAUUCAUUGGGCGUAAAGCGUCUACAGGUUGAUAUUUAAGUCUUUUGUUAAAUCUUGGAGCUUAACUCCAAACAUGCAAAGGAAACUAUUUAUCUAGAGUAUGGUAGAGGUAAAGGGAAUUUCUAGUGGAGCGGUGAAAUGCGCAGAGAUUAGAAGGAACACCAAAAGCGAAGGCACUUUACUGGGCCAUUACUGACACUCAUUGACGAAAGCUAGGGGAGCAAACGAGAUUAGAUACCUCGGUAGUCCUAGCCCUAAACUAUGGAUACUAGAUGUUGAACGAUUUAUAUCGUACAGUGUCGUAGCUAACGCGUUAAGUAUCCCGCCUGGGAAGUAUGCUCGCAAGGGUGAAACUCAAAGGAAUUGACGGGGGCCCGCACAAGCGGUGGAGUAUGUGGUUUAAUUCGAUGCAACACGAAGAACCUUACCAGAACU